UUUAAGGAUGUCGACCUGCAACUGAAAUUGAGUGAUAUUCGACUAUUUCAAUUUAGAUUCGCUAGUCAACAAAAUGAUUGCUCACUCCGAAAUAACAACUUUCAAGGAAUGGAUCCGACCGCUGAUAUUAAAAUUGAAGAGUUAGAUUUCAUUGGAACAUGGAAUUACUGUAAUGGAAAAUAAAACAGGUCUUGCUGAGCACUGAGGAUGAAGAAAUGUUAUAUGGGGAGAAAAUGGGCUACUGGAAGUGGACCUUCUUAAACAAAGACGACUUUCACAAAAUGUUUAAAAGAUGUAGUAGUAAACCCGCGAUGGGGUGGCAUGUGCCUCAAUAAAAAUAUUACAAUCAUUUAUUAUUAUAUCAAUUUAUCGUUAAAUAUUUCAAAAAUAUCAAUAACGUAUGGUUGAUCCUUCACACUUGGUAAAAUAUAUAAAAAUAAAGUUAAUCUACACUAAAGAAUAAAUAAUCUAUAUUAUAUAAGAUCACGGUCGUGGCAUCGAACCUUGGACGCUUCCCCUGCCACUGUCAGACACUCAAAUUGGAAUAGUAGUGUGCGCUACUCGAGCUGUUGAUAUAUGAGUUCUUCGGUGUUAUUUAUAUAAUUGUAAUAUGUAAUGACUGACAGUGCGAGAUAUCUUUUUUUGUUUCUAUUUGAUGUGUUUAGUGUUUGUGUUGCAUUCUAAUAUAAACCGCGUAUUAGUUUCGUGUCAAUUUUAAAUUUGAUAAGUUUAUCUUUAAACUGUAUUUAUUAGCAGUAAUAGUUACAUUUUGGUAUUAUCCAUAUAUUUAUUAUUGUAAUACUGCUGUAUAAUGCUGUUUCUUCCUCAUUGUAGCUUACAUAUAGGAUAGCAUACUUUGCUAUGAUCUUUAAUCACAGUUGACAAUACUUGAUUAGAGUUAAUGAUUGUACGCGUUUGAAAUCUUGAUUUGAUAUCAUUAUAACCUUUACUAAUAUUCAGAUGAA